GAUGAACGCUGGCGGCGUGCCUAAUACAUGCAAGUCGAGCGAACAGAUGAUGAGUUUGCUCCUCUGACGUUAGCGGCGGACGGGUAAGUAACACGUGGAUAACCUACCUCUACGACUUGGAUAACUUCGGGAAACCGGAGCUACUACCGGAUAAUAUAUUGAACGGCAUGGUUCAAUAGUGAAAGACGGUUUUGCUGUCACUUAUAGAUGGAUCCGCGCCGCAUUAGCUAGUUGGUAAGGUAACGGCUUACCAAGGCAGCGAUGCGUAGCCGACCUGAGAGGGUGUACGGCCACACUGGAACUGAGACACGGUCCAGAGUCCUACGGGAGGCAGCAGUAGGGAAUCGUCGGCGAUGGGCGAAAGCCUGACGGAGCAGCGCCGCGUGGGUGAUGAAGGUCUUCGGAUCGUAAAACUCUGUUAGUAGGGAAGACCAAUUGUGUAAGUAACUAUGCACGUCUUGACGGUACCUAGUCAGAAAGCCCCGGCUAACUACGUG
rnacentral:rRNA from 1 species